rnacentral:rRNA from 1 species
GGACUGUAACUGACGCUGAGGCUCGAAAGCGUGGGAGCAAACAGGAUUAGAUACCUGGUAGUCCACGCCCGUAAACGAUGAAUACUAGGUGUAGGGGUUGUCAUGACCUCUGUGCCGCCGCUAACGCAUUAAGUAUUCCGCCUGGGGAGUACGGUCGCAAGAUUAAAACUCAAAGGAAUUGACGGGGGCCCGCACAAGUAGCGGGAGCAUGUGGUUUAAUUCGAAGCAACGCGAAGAACCUUACCUAGACUUGACAUCUCCUGAAUUACCAUGUAAUGUGGGAAGUCCUUUCGGGACAGGAAGACAGGUGGUGCAUGGUUGUCGUCAGCUCGUGUCGUGAGAUGUUGGGUUAAGUCCCGCAACGAGCGCAACCUUAUUGUUAGUUGCUACCAUUUAGUUGAGCACUCUAGCGAGACUGCCCGGGUUAACCGGAGGAAGGUGGGGAUGACGUCAAAUCAUCAUGCCCCUUAUGUCUAGGGCUACACACGUGCUACAAUGGCCGGUACAACGAGAUGCAAUACCGUGAGGGUGGAGCAAAACUAUAAAACCGGUCUCAGUUCGGAUUGUAGGCUGAAACUCGCCUACAUGAAGCUGGAGUUACUAGUAAUCGCGAAUCAGAAUGUCGCGGUGAAUACGUUCCCGGGCCUUGUACACACCGCCCGUCACACCAUGAGAGUUGGCAAUACCCAAAGUUGGUGAUCUAACCCGUAAGGGAGGAAGCCACUAAGGUAGGGUCAGCGAUUGGGGUGAAGUCGUAACAAGGUAGCCGUAGGAGAACCUGCGGCUGGAUCACCU